rnacentral:rRNA from 1 species
UACAGAGGUCUCAAGCGUUGUUCGGAUUCAUUGGGCGUAAAGGGCGCGUAGGCGGUCAGCACAAGUCAGUUGGGAAAUCUCCGGGCUUAACUCGGAAAGGUCAACUGAUACUGUGCGACUAGAGUGCGGAAGGGGCAACUGGAAUUCUCGGUGUAGCGGUGAAAUGCGUAGAGAUCGGAAAGAACAUCAGUGGCGAAGGCGUCUGCCUGGGUCCAGACUGACACUUAAGUGCGAAAGCGUGGGGAGCAAACAGG